rnacentral:rRNA from 1 species
AACGAACGCUGGCGGCAUGCCUAACACAUGCAAGUCGAACGAGACCUUCGGGUCUAGUGGCGCAAGGGUGCGUAACGCGUGGGAACCUGCCCUUAGGUUCGGGAUAACUCCCCGAAAGGGGUGCUAAUACCGGAUAAUGUCUUCGGACCAAAGAUUUAUCGCCUUUGGAUGGGCCCGCGUUGGAUUAGCUAGUUGGUAGGGUAAAAGCCUACCAAGGCGACGAUCCAUAGCUGGUCUGAGAGGAUGAUCAGCCACACUGGGACUGAGACACGGCCCAGACUCCUACGGGAGGCAGCAGUGGGGAAUAUUGGACAAUGGGCGAAAGCCUGAUCCAGCAAUGCCGCGUGAGUGAUGAAGGCCUUAGGGUUGUAAAGCUCUUUUACCCGGGAUGAUAAUGACAGUACCGGGAGAAUAAGCUCCGGCUAACUCCGUG